AUUGAACGCUGGCGGCAUGCCUUACACAUGCAAGUCGAACGGCAGCGGACCUUCGGGUGCCGGCGAGUGGCGAACGGGUGAGUAAUAUAUCGGAACGUACCUUUCAGUGGGGGGUAACGUAGCGAAAGUUACGCUAAUACCGCAUAUUCUGUGAGCAGGAAAGCAGGGGAUCGCAAGACCUUGCGCUGAUUGAGCGGCCGAUAUCAGAUUAGCUAGUUGGUGAGGUAAAGGCUCACCAAGGCGACGAUCUGUAGCGGGUCUGAGAGGAUGAUCCGCCACACUGGAACUGAGACACGGUCCAGACUCCUACGGGAGGCAGCAGUGGGGAAUUUUGGACAAUGGGCGCAAGCCUGAUCCAGCCAUGCCGCGUGAGUGAAGAAGGCCUCGGUU
rnacentral:rRNA from 1 species